rnacentral:rRNA from 1 species
GGGAAACCGGUGCUAAUACCGCAUACGAUAGCGAUGUCUGCGGACGUUGCUAUGAAAGGAGCAAUUCGCUCCAGGAGGAGCCCGCGGCUGAUUAGCUAGUUGGUGAGGUAAUGGCUCACCAAGGCAACGAUCAGUAUCCGGUCUGAGAGGACGGUCGGACACACUGGAACUGAGACACGGUCCAGACUCCUACGGGAGGCAGCAGUGGGGAAUUUUUGGCAAUGGGGGCAACCCUGACCAAGCAACGCCGCGUGGGUGAUGAAGUCUCUUGGGACGUAAAACCCUUUCGACAGGGAAGAAACCCGCAAGGGUUGACGGUACCUGUAGAAGAAGCCCCGGCUAACUCCGUGCCAGCAGCCGCGGUAAUACGGGGGGGGCAAGCGUUGUUCGGAAUUACUGGGCGUAAAGGGCGCGUAGGCGGUUCGCUAAGUCGGAUGUGAAAACUCUGGGCUCAACCCAGAGCCUGCAUCCGAAACUGACGGGCUAGAGUUCUGGAGGGGGUAGCGGAAUUCCUGGUGUAGCGGUGAAAUGCGUAGAUAUCAGGAGGAACACCGGUGGCGAAAGGCGGCUACCUGGACAGAAACUGACGCUGAGGCGCG